CAAUCACCUAACUCUCUGUAAAAGAAAGUUGUGAGACAUACAAAAACGACUCGGUAUAAGGAAUUAUUGUUACAACAAAUUAGACAUUGGUACGAUAAGUUUAUCGUUUGGAAAUGAAAAAAAAACGUUUGGUAAACCAGGAAAUCUGGAAAAAAAAUAAUAAAUGUGGACGUGCCUUAACAGAGGAACACACACGCUUUGUGUAAACCAAUAAAAUGGACUAAAUCCAAGAACUCUUGUCAACAAAAAGCUGGAAACAAAACCUUAUGAAAAAUGAUGUUAAACGAGUCGAUAUGGCGAGUGUUUUGAAAAAAAACCUUGGUUGGUAUCACACUAAACUAUCGUAAAGACUUCGCAGAAAAUAUUUCAAUCGGAUGGAAUAGCUACUCGCGAUAUUGCCAGAGAAGUUCAUUAAAUUUGGAAAGUUCUGGAACUUUACAGAAAAUCAUCUACUUCUGAAAACAGUUUUUGGCUAA